CGUAGGGUCCGAGCGUUGUCCGGAAUUAUUGGGCGUAAAGGGCUCGUAGGCGGUCCGUCACGUCGGGAGUGAAAACUCAAGGCUCAACCUUGAGCGUGCUUCCGAUACGGGCGGACUAGAGGUAUGCAGGGGAGAACGGAAUUCCUGGUGUAGCGGUGGAAUGCGCAGAUAUCAGGAGGAACACCGGUGGCGAAGGCGGUUCUCUGGGCAUUACCUGACGCUGAGGAGCGAAAGCAUGGGGAGCGAACAGGAUUAGAUACCCUGGUAGUCCAUGCCGUAAACGUUGGGCGCUAGGUGUGGGGACCUUCCACGGUUUCCGUGCCGCAGCUAACGCAUUAAGCGCCCCGCCUGGGGAGUACGGCCGCAAGGCUA
rnacentral:rRNA from 1 species